rnacentral:rRNA from 1 species
CCCUUAGAUGUCCUGGGCUGCACGCGCGCUACACUGACACGUUCAGCAAGUUUCCUAUUCCGAAGGGAAAAGGUAAUCUUUUGAAAUCGUGUCGUGAUGGGGAUAGAUUAUUGCAAUUAUUAAUCUUCAACGAGGAAUUCCUAGUAAGUGUAAGUCAUCAGCUUGCACUGAUUACGUCCCUGCCUUUUGUACACACCGCCCGUCGCACCUACCGAUUGAAUGGUCCGGUGAAAUUCUCGGACGCGGACUUGCGAUGUUAAUUCGGAGCUUGACUGUGAAAGUUAAUUAAACCUUACCAUUUAGAGGAAGGUGAAGUCGUAACA